ACGGAGGGUGCGAGCGUUAUUCGGAAUUACUGGGCGUAAAGCGCGUGCAGGAGGUUUGGGAAGUCUUAUGGGAAAGCCCCGGGCUUAACAUGGGAAAUGCAUUGGAAAACGCCGGACUUGAGUACUGGAGAGGAAGGGGGAAUUCCCGGUUUAGUGGUGAAAUUCUUAGAGAUCCGAAGAAAUACCAGUGGCGAAGGCGCACUUCUGGGCUUUUACUGACGCUAAUACGCGAAAGCGUGGGGAGCAAACAG
rnacentral:rRNA from 1 species